GUUAAGUUAGAAAGGGCGCACGGUGAAUGCCUUGGCACUAGGAGCCGAUGAAGGACGGGACUAACACCGAUAUGCUUCGGGGAGCUGUAAGUGAGCUUUGAUCCGGAGAUUUCCGAAUGGGGAAACCCACUGUUCGUAAUGGAACAGUAUCUUUAUCUGAAUACAUAGGAUAUUGAAGGCAGACCCGGGGAACUGAAACAUCUAAGUACCCGGAGGAAGAGAAAGCAAAUGCGAUUUCCUGAGUAGCGGCGAGCGAAACGGAAUUAGCCCAAACCAAGAGGCUUGCCUCUUGGGGUUGUAGGACACUCUAUACGGAGUUACAAAGGAACGAAGUAAAUGAAGCGACCUGGAAAGGUCCGUCGAAGAAGGUAACAACCCUGUAGUUGAAACUUCGUUCCCUCUUGAGUGGAUCCUGAGUACGGCGGAACACGUGAAAUUCCGUCGGAAGCUGGGAGGACCAUCUCCCAAGGCUAAAUACUACCUAGUGACCGAUAGUGAACCAGUACCGUGAGGGAAAGGUGAAAAGCACCCCGGAAGGGGAGUGAAAGAGAUCCUGAAACCGUGUGCCUACAAGUAGUCAGAGCCCGUUAACGGGUGAUGGCGUGCCUUUUGUAGAAUGAACCGGCGAGUUACGAUCCCAUGCAAGGUUAAGCUGAUAAGGCGGAGCCGUAGCGAAAGCGAGUCUGAAUAGGGCGUUUAGUAUGUGGUUGUAGACCCGAAACCAGGUGAUCUACCCAUGUCCAGGGUGAAGUUCAGGUAACACUGAAUGGAGGCCCGAACCCACGCACGUUGAAAAGUGCGGGGAUGAGGUGUGGGUAGCGGAGAAAUUCCAAUCGAACCUGGAGAUAGCUGGUUCUCUCCGAAAUAGCUUUAGGGCUAGCCUCAUGUUGUGAGAGUCUUGGAGGUAGAGCACUGAUUGGACUAGGGGCCCCCAACGGGUUACCGAAUUCAGUCAAACUCCGAAUGCCAAAGACUUAUCCAUGGGAGUCAGACUGCGAGUGAUAAGAUCCGUAGUCAAAAGGGAAACAGCCCAGACCACCAGCUAAGGUCCCCAAGUAUACGUUAAGUGGAAAAGGAUGUGGAGUUGCUUAGACAACCAGGAUGUUGGCUUAGAAGCAGCCACCAUUUAAAGAGUGCGUAAUAGCUCACUGGUCGAGUGACUCUGCGCCGAAAAUGUACCGGGGCUAAACGUAUCACCGAAGCUGUGGAUUGACAUCUUUGAUGUCAGUGGUAGGAGAGCGUUCUAAGUGCAGCGAAGUCAGACCGUAAGGACUGGUGGAGCGCUUAGAAGUGAGAAUGCCGGUAUGAGUAGCGAAAGACAAGUGAGAAUCUUGUCCACCGAAUGCCUAAGGUUUCCUGAGGAAGGCUCGUCCGCUCAGGGUUAGUCGGGACCUAAGCCGAGGCUGAAAAGCGUAGGCGAUGGCCAACAGGUUGAUAUUCCUGUACCACCUCCCCGCCGUUUGAGUAAUGGGGGGACGCAGUAGGAUAGGGUAAGCGCGCUGCUGGAUAUGCGCGUUCAAGCAGUUAGGCUGAUGAGUAGGCAAAUCCGCUCAUCAUAAAGGCUGAGCUGUGAUGACGAGGGAAUUAUAGUACCGAAGUUCCUGAUUCCACACUGCCAAGAAAAGCCUCUAGCGAGGCGGGAGGUGCCCGUACCGCAAACCGACACAGGUAGGCGAGGAGAGAAUCCUAAGGUGAUCGAGAGAACUCUCGUUAAGGAACUCGGCAAAAUGACCCCGUAACUUCGGGAGAAGGGGUGCUCUGGUAGGGUGUAUAGCCCGAGAGAGCCGCAGUGAAUAGGCCCAGGCGACUGUUUAGCAAAAACACAGGUCUCUGCGAAGCCGCAAGGCGAAGUAUAGGGGCUGACGCCUGCCCGGUGCUGGAAGGUUAAGAGGAGGGGUUAUCCUUUGGGAGAAGCUCUGAAUCGAAGCCCCAGUAAACGGCGGCCGUAACUAUAACGGUCCUAAGGUAGCGAAAUUCCUUGUCGGGUAAGUUCCGACCCGCACGAAAGGCGUAACGAUCUGGGCACUGUCUCAACGAGAGACUCGGUGAAAUUAUAGUACCUGUGAAGAUGCAGGUUACCCGCGACAGGACGGAAAGACCCCGUGGAGCUUUACUGUAGCCUGAUAUUGAAUUUUGGUACAGCUUGUACAGGAUAGGUAGGAGCCUGAGAAGCCGGAGCGCUAGCUUCGGUGGAGGCGUCGGUGGGAUACUACCCUGGCUGUAUUGAAAUUCUAACCCGCGGCCCUGAUCGGGCCGGGAGACAGUGUCAGGUGGGCAGUUUGACUGGGGCGGUCGCCUCCUAAAAUGUAACGGAGGCGCCCAAAGGUUCCCUCAGAAUGGUUGGAAAUCAUUCGUAGAGUGUAAAGGCACAAGGGAGCUUGACUGCGAGACCUACAAGUCGAGCAGGGACGAAAGUCGGGCUUAGUGAUCCGGUGGUUCCGCAUGGAAGGGCCAUCGCUCAACGGAUAAAAGCUACCCCGGGGAUAACAGGCUUAUCUCCCCCAAGAGUCCACAUCGACGGGGAGGUUUGGCACCUCGAUGUCGGCUCAUCGCAUCCUGGGGCUGUAGUCGGUCCCAAGGGUUGGGCUGUUCGCCCAUUAAAGCGGUACGCGAGCUGGGUUCAGAACGUCGUGAGACAGUUCGGUCCCUAUCCGUCGUGGGCGUAGGAAAUUUGAGAGGAGCUGUCCUUAGUACGAGAGGACCGGGAUGGACACACCGCUGGUGUACCAGUUGUCUUGCCAAAGGCAUCGCUGGGUAGCUAUGUGUGGACGGGAUAAGUGCUGAAAGCAUCUAAGCAUGAAGCCCCCCUCAAGAUGAGAUUUCCCAUAGCGCAAGCUAGUAAGAUCCCUGAAAGAUGAUCAGGUUGAUAGGUCAGAGGUGGAAGCGUGGCGACAUGUGUAGCUGACUGAUACUAAUCGAUCGAGGACUUAACC
rnacentral:rRNA from 2 species